UUUAAUGAUGAUUUUUUUAUAUUCACACUGUAUGAAGGGUAAAACCUGUUGACUACGAAAACAAAAUAACUGAUUUAAUGACUCUGAUA
rnacentral:snoRNA from 1 species